rnacentral:rRNA from 1 species
UACGAAGGGGGCUAGCGUUGUUCGGAAUUACUGGGCGUAAAGCGCGUGUAGGCGGGUCUUUAAGUCAGGGGUGAAAUCCCUGGGCUCAACCCGGGACGUGCUUUCGAAACUACCGAUCUUGAGUAAGGCAGAGGCAGGUGGAAUUCCAGGUGUAGAGGUGAAAUUCGUAGAGAUCUGGAGGAACACCGGCGGCGAAGGCGGCCUGCUGGGCCUUAACUGACGCUGAGGCGCGAAAGCGUGGGGAGCAAACAGG